AGCCUGAACGCUGGCGGCGUGGCUAAGACAUGCAAGUCGUACGGAGGUAGCAAUACCUCAGUGGCGAACGGGUGAGUAAUGAAUCGCUAACGUGCCCUGGACUUCGGGAUAGCUAUCCGAAAGGGUAGGUAAUACCGGGUGAUAUACCCUUUCCGCAUGGAAGGGGUCUCAAAGGUCCGCCGGUCUUCGGUGGAUGGUCUGGGGAGCGGGCGAGUUUCGUAGUCAGCUAGUUGGUGGGUAACGGCCCACCAAGGCGACGACGCGUAGCCGGACUGAGAGGUUGGCCGGCCACAUUGGGACUGAGACACUGCCCAGACUCCUACGGGGGCUGCAGUAACGAAUCUUCCGCAAUGCACGAAAGUGUGACGGAGCGACGCCGCGUGGAGGACGAAGUUCUCGGAAUGUAAACUCCUGUCAGGGAAAGAAAGUUCUGAUCUACCCCAGAGGAAGAGGCGGCUAACUCUGUGCCAGCAGCCGC
rnacentral:rRNA from 1 species